rnacentral:rRNA from 1 species
CUACGGGUUGCAGCAGUGGGGAAUAUUGCACAAUGGAGGAAACUCUGAUGCAGCGACGCCGCGUGAGGGAAGAAGGUUUUCGGAUUGUAAACCUCUGUCUUCGGGGACGAUAAUGACGGUACCCGAGGAGGAAGCCACGGCUAACUACGUGCCAGCAGCCGCGGUAAAACGUAGGUGGCAAGCGUUGUCCGGAAUUACUGGGUGUAAAGGGAGCGCAGGUGGGACAGCAAGUUCAAUGUGAAAUCUAUGGGCUCAACCCAUAAAUUGCGUUGGAUACUGCAGUUCUUGAGUGGAGUAGAGGCAGGCGGAAUUCCAGGUGUAGCGGUGGAAUGCGUAGAUAUCUGGAGGAACACCAGUGGCGAAGGCGGCCUGCUGGGCUCUAACUGACACUGAGGCUCGAAAGCGUGGGUAGCAAACAGGAUUAGAUACCCCCGUAGUC